CCGGAUUUAAUUUUUUACACUGCUAACUACACACCUAUGCUUACAUCCACACAGACUCAACCAAGUGGAAACACUUUGGACGAUGCCCCGUGCAAAGUCAUGCCACCAGUCUGAGGCCAUCAAUGGGAAUGGCACAUGGGACACGUGGUUUUCAACUCCAGCGAGCACACGGCAAAGGUUGGCGUCACCGUGGGCAAUCAUGGCAAAGACCCAAGUCGACUGGACUAGAGCGGAAAAUGAUCCUUCCAGACAAGUCUCCAGAGAAGAAGAAGUUAUUUACUUCUACAAU